AAAAUAUGAUCCAACAGCUCGGAUUCAGCCAGUAACGAAUUUUCGAUAUCAUAAAAGAUUCACAAUACAAAGGGAACUUCCUCUGCUUAAUUGAGCCCCUAAAUAAAUGUGAGCAUUUAAGUUUUAUUCAAAAUUGUCGAAAGCACAGUUUCAUAUAUGUUCUUGCACGAAUACUGAAUAACAGACGGACGGCCACACGAAAAAAAAACCCAAAUGCUGAAACGUUUCACUAUCGAUCAAAAUCCUGAAAAAUGACAUAUAUCACACACUAUCACGUAUCAUGAUAGAACUGUUAAAACUGUAAACUGGUGUUGUUUAUAAUAUAAAUGAAAGUUCUUCGUGUACAUAUUGUCAAUAUUUCAUUUUAUUACUUCUAAACAAAAUGAUGUAGAAAAUUCAGAGCAGG
rnacentral:lncRNA from 1 species